CUUUUCUGAUCUAUUACCUAAGGAAAUUAUUCAUUUGACUUUUAUAAUGAAAUUUUGUGUCUCUACUGUAAUUGCCGCUAAUUACAUUGUUUGCAAAAUCUUGAUCUAAAUUGAUUGAAAAAGGAAAUCUCUUAAUUAUCAUUUAUUACUGACUACGAAAGGCAUCCUUAUUAGCUGAAUCUUUAGAAAGCAAUGACUAUGUGUGAUCAGAAAUAAACCGCAC
rnacentral:lncRNA from 1 species